UGAGUAAUGUCUGGGAAACUGCCUGAUGGAGGGGGAUAUCUACUGGAAACGGUAGCUAAUACCGCAUAACGUCGCAAGACCAAAGAGGGGGACCUUCGGGCCUCUUGCCAUCAGAUGUGCCCAGAUGGGAUUAGCUAGUAGGUGGGGUAAUGGCUCACCUAGGCGACGAUCCCUAGCUGGUCUGAGAGGAUGACCAGCCACACUGGAACUGAGACACGGUCCAGACUCCUACGGGAGGCAGCAGUGGGGAAUAUUGCACAAUGGGCGCAAGCCUGAUGCAGCCAUGCCGCGUGUGUGAAGAAGGCCUUCGGGUUGUAAAGCACUUUCAGCGAGGAGGAAGGUGGUGAGCUUAAUACGCUCAUCAAUUGACGUUACUCGCAGAAGAAGCACCGGCUAACUCCGUGCCAGCAGCCGCGGUAAUACGGAGGGUGCAAGCGUUAAUCGGAAUUACUGGGCGUAAAGCGCACGCAGGCGGUUUGUUAAGUCAGAUGUGAAAUCCCCGGG
rnacentral:rRNA from 1 species